rnacentral:rRNA from 1 species
UACGUAGGGUGCAGGCGUUAAUCGGAAUUACUGGGCGUAAAGCGUGCGCAGGCGGUUUCUUAAGUCAGAUGUGAAAGCCCCGGGCUUAACCUGGGAACUGCGUUUGAAACUGGGAGACUUGAGUGUGGCAGAGGGGGGUGGAAUUCCACGUGUAGCAGUGAUAUGCGUAGAUAUGUGGAGGAACACCGAUGGCGAAGGCAGCCCCCUGGGUCAACACUGACGCUCAUGCACGAAAGCGUGGGGAGCAAACAGG